AAGAAUGUAGCCAAAUUGGUUAAGGCUGCAGUUUUUGAUACUGCCAU
rnacentral:tRNA from 1 species